UUUGUUUUGUUUUGCUUUGCUUUGCUUUGUUCAUCCAGGACGUAUUUUGUUUGUUUUCACAGCCAGGUUCGAUUACACUUUAUUAUUGUGUCUGAAAUGUGUUAUGUUUGUAUCAUUGAUAUAUGUUCGUGAGUACUAUAGCGGCAACCAUCUUCAUUGUUUUAUUCAUGUUUUUGUUGCAUUGGAUUUACAGUACCACCAAAACUUUACACGCACAAAGUGCCAAGGUAUGUAAGGUAUUGGGUGCCAAGUGCAACUUCAAAUUUCAUGAGAAUAUGUAGAUACAUGUAUAUUAAUUAAUUUAAUACACAGAAAAACAAAGGCCACAAUUUCAACACAGUGCAAGUGUUGUGCUCAAAAUUUUAUACCCAAAAUAAUUUUGUAGAAUAAAUUCACACUGUUCCUUCCUUUCUGUCCUUUCUUGUUUCUGUUGGGUGAAUAUAUUUUUCAUUUUGGUGUUUUGUUUUAGAAGCAGCUUUGUGCAAGGGCGGAAAAUCACUCGUAAAACCACAUGUAAACAACUAUUUAUUUCUUGACAUGUUGUGCCUAUUCCUUAUUUAGCAUCGUAAAUGUUUAUGCAAAGUUUCAGCACAUACAGUAGAUGUGUUUUGAUGCAGAAGAAGAUCUCACAAGAUCUCAAAAUCGCUCAA